CCAUUUGUGUACAAAGAAGGAAGACAGAGAGAUGGAAAGACAUCAAAGAAUGGGCAGGUCUGCCAAGAAAUGGUUUAUCCAAGGCUAAGUACAGAGAGGAAUAUAGAAGGGCUGUUGACAGAUCUUGUGUGGUGCCCCCAUGGUUCAACAGACUAAUUGAUUGAAAAUAAUACCAGGGCUAUGCUCCUUUGACCAUUGAGUUCCAGGAUGAAGAAUGAAAGACAGAGAGCAAUGUGAAGACAUCAAAGAAUGGGCAGAUCUGCCAUGAAAUGGUUUAUCCAGGGCUAAGUACAGAGAGGAAUAUAGAAGGGCUGUUGACAGAUCUUGUGUGGUGCCCCCAUGGUUCAACAGACUGAUUGAUAGGUAAUGGAAUUAGUCAUUCAAAAGACGGUGAGGAAAAGAAUGGUCGACAAACCUUGUGUGGUGCCUUAACAGUCCAUCAGACUAAGGGAUAGAUAAAGGUGAAUUUAAUUUAUAUUUUGAUCUAUAUAAGUUGAUUUACUGGACUAAAAAUCUAGAUAUUGGUAAAACUUUGCUAUUCUAUUCUAAAUCUAGUGUGACAUUCCAUAUUUUUUAUUCUGAUUUUAGAUAGAUCUUGAUUAGAUCUAGAUCCCAUAUGUAUAGGACUUAGCACUAGAUCUCUAGAAAUUAUUGUAUAUGAUGCUAGAUCUAGAAAAUCUAGACUUGAUCAUAGAAAUCU